CAACGGAGAUUCUCGGCAUGGGCGGUGUUUUCCGCUCCUUCCUCUCGUGAUUGGUUCAGUCCGCGUGAUGACUCUGAAAGUCCCUGUUGGGUUAGAGUGGCGCUUUGAACACCCCACGUGGGGGCAGAGGAUUACACGGCGUUUUCAAGAAAUUUCAAGAAGGUUGUCAACAUCCAACAUCACCACCGUACAAAACCCCCCAGCAAGCUUAUAUGAUUGAGAAAGAUGCGCUUUUAGCGACGCGGCAGUCAUUUCAGAGCGCUUCCGUGACAAAAAAAUGAGCUGACGUCGCCACCUGGUGGUGAACGGUGGAAGCGACCUUUCCUCGACAUCACCAGGACAGCGCUGCAUGAUGCGUCACCGUCACGCCACGGUAGGGUUACUCGCGAGCUGGUCAGACGAUUACGUCUGAUUAUUCCCCACAGCGGAUGAAACAUCAUCACAACAGUUUAACAGUUAUAUAACAGAAGGUUCAUAUUUCACCAAAACAAUUCCCAAUACCUGUCUUUCUCCCCUCGCUUCAUAUAUGGAAAUUCUAAGAUCGUAAUUAAGUUUCUCGUUUGAAUUGAAUGAGUUGAGUUGGAACUGUUUAUUUCUGUGACCUAGAAAACUGCCACGGUCAACAAGAACCCCAAGAAACUCUUUUUAAUUAAAAAAAGUAUUUAUUUAUGCAUCAUUGUAUAGAUGGACAACAUAUCUUGUACAUAUGGUAUAAUCAUUCCAGUCGAUAUUUACAUUUCAGAACUUGCACUAUAGAGUAUAUAUAAAUCAGUGCUUCCUACAACAUUAAACACAUCUAAUCUCACUGAGAGAUCCCUCAGGUCCUAUGGACAGGGUCCAACACCAUUUUAGAUUUUCAUGAAUAACGAUUAAUAUAUUAACAAAACAUGUA